rnacentral:rRNA from 1 species
UCGCCCGCCGCGCGCGGCGGGCGGGGCGGGGGCACGGGGGGCCUACGGGAGGCAGCAGUGAGGAAUCUUGGGCAAUGGGCGAAAGCCUGACCCAGCGACGUCGCGUGAGGGAAGAAGGCCUUCGGGUCGUAAACCUCUUUUGUGAGGGAAGAAGUUCUGACGGUACCUCACGAAUAAGCCACGGCUUACUACGUGCCAGCAGCCGCGGUAAUA